AUGUAUGCAAUGCUGAUCCUGUUGCUGACAUCAAUAAGCAGUUUGUGUAUGGUUUCGGUUGUAGGUCGAUGGAGUUGCUGAAUACACUGGCAAAAGAUGAGAAAUUGGAAAGAUGCAUAAUGGACAUUUAUGGAGCUGUGAGAGUACAAUUCGUGACAUCUCAACCUGCCCCAUAGGCAUGGAAGGUUAGUAAUUUUUAUGAAUA